CUCUUGAGAGCGGCGGACGGGUGAGUAAUGCCUAGGAAUCUGCCUGGUAGUGGGGGAUAACGUUCGGAAACGGACGCUAAUACCGCAUACGUCCUACGGGAGAAAGCAGGGGACCUUCGGGCCUUGCGCUAUCAGAUGAGCCUAGGUCGGAUUAGCUAGUUGGUGGGGUAAUGGCUCACCAAGGCGACGAUCCGUAACUGGUCUGAGAGGAUGAUCAGUCACACUGGAACUGAGACACGGUCCAGACUCCUACGGGAGGCAGCAGUGGGGAAUAUUGGACAAUGGGCGAAAGCCUGAUCCAGCCAUGCCGCGUGUGUGAAGAAGGUCUUCGGAUUGUAAAGCACUUUAAGUUGGGAGGAAGGGUUGUAGAUUAAUACUCUGCAAUUUUGACGUUACCGACAGAAUAAGCACCGGCUAACUCUGUGCCA
rnacentral:rRNA from 1 species